rnacentral:lncRNA from 1 species
UAAAGAGAGGCUGUAAUUCCACUGGGCAGCCAGAUGUUUUGUGUCUGUGCUGAACUGGGGAGACAGUGUGGCUUUAGGGGUUGAAGGGUGUGCUGUUCUUGUCACAGGGCUGUUUGGAGACCUUCAACAUAUCUGAUCUGCUUUCUCUCCUCUCCCUUCCACUCCCUCCUGCCAUGCCUGCACUGAUGGUGAUUACUUCCUUCAGAGUAAAAUGGGAUUAUUGAGAGCAGUGUAAUUUCUUGCUUUCUUAAAGGAACUGCCCUCAUCAGCAGAGUGAACACUGAUGCCUGGAGUAGCAGAUUGUGCAUAAGCAGACAUCUCUGUCUUUAUCUGCAGCUGCUGCAGGAAGUCAGCUGCAUGUCUUUGGUGCAGCUGCAAGAAUGACUUGACUGAUUUGCAUUCAUGGCU